UACGGAGGAUGCGAGCGUUAUCCGGAUUUAUUGGGUUUAAAGGGUGCGUAGGCGGGCUUUUAAGUCAGCGGUAAAAAUUCGGGGCUCAACCCCGUCCGGCCGUUGAAACUGGGGGCCUUGAGUGGGCGAGAAGAAGGCGGAAUGCGUGGUGUAGCGGUGAAAUGCAUAGAUAUCACGCAGAACCCCGACUGCGAAGGCAGCCUUCCGGCGCCCUACUGACGCUGAGGCACGAGAGUGCGGGGAUCGAACAGG
rnacentral:rRNA from 1 species